AUUAACGCUAGCGGCAGGCAUAAUACAUGCAAGUUGAACGGCAGCACAGGUAGCAAUACUGGGUGGCGAGUGGCGCACGGGUGCGUGACACGUAUGCAACCUACCCUAUACAGGCGAAUAACCUUUAGAAAUGAGGGCUAAUACGCCGUAGUAUUACAGAUGGGCAUCUAUUUGUAAUUAAAGAUUUAUCGGUAUAGGAUGGGCAUGCGUCCCAUUAGUUAGUUGGUAAGGUAACGGCUUACCAAGACGAUGAUGGGUAGGG
rnacentral:rRNA from 1 species